UACGUAGGGCGCAAGCGUUGUCCGGAAUUAUUGGGCGUAAAGAGCUCGUAGGCGGUUUGUCGCGUCUGCUGUGAAAACUGGGGGCUCAACCCCCAGCCUGCAGUGGGUACGGGCAGACUAGAGUGCGGUAGGGGAGAUUGGAAUUCCUGGUGUAGCGGUGGAAUGCGCAGAUAUCAGGAGGAACACCGAUGGCGAAGGCAGAUCUCUGGGCCGUAACUGACGCUGAGGAGCGAAAGCAUGGGGAGCGAACAGG
rnacentral:rRNA from 1 species